AAUUCUCAAAUCACAACUUUUUGUGGCUUGGAUAGUUGGGUAUUUGCCUGUUCUAAUAGACUGGCUUACCUUAAAUAUAUAAGUGGUUAGUUUAGAAACUUAUUGGGUGUUGUAAAUAUAUUCAAUACAUCUAUGGUUCUGAAUUAUACUACAUAAUUAUUGAUAAUUGAUGA
rnacentral:misc_RNA from 2 species